UUGAUGCAAGGAGUUCAAGAUGAAUUCUCUAAUCUAUUCUUUAAUUUUCUAUUUAUAUUAUUCAUAUUAAUUUCACGCUUGGAGUUGGUUACUGCGUUAUCUGGGCCAAAUGAAUGCUCGAGAAUUGUGCGAAAAUCAAAACCCAGAUACACGUCGUGCGAAUUUUUUGGAUGGAGCCGAUGCAGAGGAUCUGUUUACUACUUUGCAACCGAAAAGUAUUGCUGUGAAGGCUGGAAGGCAGACAGCAAUGGAUCCUGCACAAUACCCGCAAAUGCAUGAUUUAAACAAGACGGACGGCGUCGAUUCAUCUGAAUGCACAGAACAAGACGUUGAAGACGCCGAAUAAUAUAAACAAACAAAAACAUUAAACGUGAUUAACCUUUCAGAUGUGUAAUUUAACUAUAACAUGUUUAACAAAUAAUUGCCGUAACGUAUAUAACGAAAUAAACACAACAUGUUUUCUAAGAAUUCAAUUGUAAUAACAUGUGAAAUAAUUACUUUUACAUUUCAUAGUUUGUAUGCAUUUAAUAUUAGUUGAAUAAAUUUUUGAAAAUGCA